rnacentral:rRNA from 1 species
AACGAACGCUGGCGGCAGGCUUAACACAUGCAAGUCGAGCGCCCCGCAAGGGGAGCGGCAGACGGGUGAGUAACGCGUGGGAACGUACCCUUUGCUACGGAAUAGCUCCGGGAAACUGGAAUUAAUACCGUAUGUGCCCUACGGGGGAAAGAUUUAUCGGCAAAGGAUCGGCCCGCGUUGGAUUAGCUAGUUGGUGGGGUAAUGGCCUACCAAGGCGACGAUCCAUAGCUGGUCUGAGAGGAUGAUCAGCCACAUUGGGACUGAGACACGGCCCAAACUCCUACGGGAGGCAGCAGUGGGGAAUAUUGGACAAUGGGCGCAAGCCUGAUCCAGCCAUGCCGCGUGAGUGAUGAAGGCCUUAGGGUUGUAAAGCUCUUUCACCGGAGAAGAUAAUGACGGUAUCCGGAGAAGAAGCCCCGGCUAACUCUGUGCCAGCAGCCGCCGUAAAAC